CUCCGUUCGCAGCGCCGCUCCAGCCCCUCCUGACGCCGCUCCAGCCCACCUGACGCCGCCAUCUCCGCUCCAUUGCAGGUCCGGUCACUCCUCAACGCCGUUCGCGCUAUUUGGACACUAGUUGAGGCGUCUUUUGUCAAAGAUGCACCAAUUUCUGUCAACCGUGUAACAUGGAAUUUUGAUGGAAGUCUUGUGGGAGCUGCAUUUAAUAAGCAUUUGGUUCACCUGUAUGCUUAUAAUGGAUCAAAUGAUCUACGCUAGCAACUGUAAGCAACUGUAGGAUUUACUUGCCUUUUUUAAAAAAAAAAAAAUUUAGAUUGAUGCUCACGUUGGGGGUGUUAAUGACUUGGCUUUUGCUCAUCCAAACAAACAACUGUGUGUUGUAAACUGUGGAGAUGAUAAGCUAAUAAAGGUUUGGGAUUUAGGGGGACGGAAAUUAUUUAAUUUUGAAGGUCAUGAGGCUCCAGUUUAUUCUAUAUGUCCUCACCAUAAAGAAAGCAUUCAGUUUAUAUUCGCAACUGCUAUUGAUGGAAAAAUAAAGGCCUG